rnacentral:rRNA from 1 species
CCUACGGGAGGCAGCAGUGGGGAAUUUUCCGCAAUGGGCGAAAGCCUGACGGAGCAAUACCGCGUGAGGGAGGAAGGCUCUUGGGUCGUAAACCUCUUUUCUCUGGGAAGAUAAUGACGGUACCAGAGGAAUAAGCAUCGGCUAACUCCGUGCCAGCAGCCGCGGUAAUACGGAGGAUGCAAGCGUCAUCCGGAAUGAUUGGGCGUAAAGAGUCCGUAGGUGGUACAGAAAGUCUGUGGUUAAAGCGCGAAGCUCAACUUCGUAAAGGCCAUGGAAACUGCUGAACUAGAGUGAGAUAGGGGUAGAGGGAAUUCUUGGUGUAGCGGUGAAAUGGCGUAGAUAUCAAGAAGAACACCGGUGGCGAAAGCGCUCUACUGGAUCUUAACUGACACUGAGGGACGAAAGCUAGGGGAGCGAAAGGGAUUAGAUACCCCUGUAGUCCUAAGCCGUAAACGAUGGAUACUAGUUGUUGCGGGUAUCGACCCCUGCAGUGACGAGCUAACGCGUUAAGUAUCCCGCCUGGGGNGUACGCACGCAAGUGUGAAACUCAAAGGAAUUGACGG